ACGCUGCGGGGCAGGCCCUCCAGGGAGAUGGGGUUCGCCGGCUCCGGCUUGGAGGCGAAGGGGAAAAAACAGCAAUCAACAUUCGCACUGGAAGGCAGGUCUCAGAUUUUAGCAGCCGCCUUGGCCCCUUCUCGAUGUAAGCUUUCUGCUUCUUGGAGAGUUAAGGUGAAGUCGUUGGGACAGAGAGGUUGAGUGAUGGGCCCAUGAACACAGCAGCUCGUGCUGGUGGGCGGAGGGGGGUUUGGACCGGCACCUGCCCUAGUCUAGGCUCAGUGCGCUGAGCCGUGAUGUGCACCUCUCACUGUCACCUCCACCUCAGCUGGUCAAGGCCUCUUCACCCUUCUGUCUCUGCUAAACUGCAGUUUCCUUAGGAAACGUCCCUGCCCUUCCUGACUAAAUCAAAUCCUACUGCAAGCUCUCUUUACCCCUUCCUCUCUGGUAUCAAAGCGGGGAUUUUAAACUCAGUUGGUCACAAUCAGUCACCAGUGGGAGACUGCGGACUCCAAGAAGACAGGGUCUGUCUAAUUUUCAUCUCACUGUUACGGUCUCUUUUCCUAACCAAGCGCUGGUCGGAUAUUAAAUGCUCAAUAAAUAUUUGACUACUGGUGGGA